rnacentral:rRNA from 1 species
ACCCACCUACUUUAAGGUAGGUAUUGCAACAUGAAUACAUAGUGUUGCAAGGCGAACGAGGGGAAGUGAAACAUCUCAGUACCCUUAGGAAAAGAAAUCAAUUGAGAUUCCCUCAGUAGCGGCGAGCGAACGGGGAUCAGCCCAUUAAGUUAUGUGUGUUUUAGUGGAACGCUCUGGGAAGUGCGAACGUAGAGGGUGAUAUUCCCGUACACGAAAGGGCACACAUAAUGAUGACGAGUAGGGCGAGGCACGUGAAACCUUGUCUGAAUAUGGGGGGACCAUCCUCCAAG